GUGGGUGGCAAGACAGACACAAGACAGGGCGUGUGGGUCAGGGCUAACUGACUUCAUUCCUAACACCCAUGUCUUAGGUGGGUAAUGCCCAUGGCUCCUGGAAACAGCCCCAACCCCCCACCUUGCAGACACAAGCAGGCUCUGUGGCGAGUUGGACAUGCUUUGCACAGCAGGCUGAGGACCUGCAUCCCUGCCCUACACAUGCCUUAAUGUAUGUCCUCCUUUGUAAGGGACAAGGAGUUCAUGAUCUCUUUGGAGUCUUCCAGCACAGCAGAUAACAUCUAAGGACUGACCAGGCGAGGUCAUCAUGUGCAUAUUCCAGACCCCUGGCGCUAGACAUCUCGACGCCAACACCCCCUGGCUCCAGGGAGUAAGUGACUUAUGAUGGACACCUGGACUCUGUCCUUGUUCUGACCAGUUCCUGGAUGACUGAGAGGACAUGUGCACCAGACCACAAUCAUCAAUAAAAAAUCCCCAGGCCCCAAGUGAAGAUGAGACUCCCUCCUUUCCUUUCCGAGUCUCCCACACACUCUGUCUGUACCUGCACUCUCUUUCUACCUUCAAUAAACUCUGCUUUCACCUC